rnacentral:rRNA from 1 species
UACGUAGGGUGCGAGCGUUGUCCGGAAUUACUGGGCGUAAAGGGUUCGUAGGCGGUUUGCCGGGUCGUUGGUGAAAACUUGGGGCUUAACUCCAAGCGUGCGGGCGAUACGGGCAGACUUGAGUACUACAGGGGAGACUGGAAUUCCUGGUGUAGCGGUGAAAUGCGCAGAUAUCAGGAGGAACACCGGUGGCGAAGGCGGGUCUCUGGGCCGUAACUGACGCUGAGGAGCGAAAGCAUGGGGAGCGAACAGG